AUGACUAUAUUUCUCUCUAGGUUCCUAUGAUUUCUAUAUGCCUAACUUGUGAUUUGUUUGCUUUAAUUAUGUACAUGUUACCAAGGAGCAUAGUCAUAACACAUAAACUUUCCGAUCGUAUGUAGAUGAUGGAAUGUUGGUCCCAGUUGAGGAGAGAAUAUCAGCUUCAACAGUAUGUCCUCCCUCGGGGCUCUGACCUCAAUUCAAUCUCACACAAAUCAGAAGCAUUGUGCAUAAAGAGUGACCCAAGCAACGCUUUCGCAACAUCUAUGUUCACUCUGAACAGUAGAAACGCUUCAGAAGAUCUGAAGUCAUACAAGCUCUGAUAUGGACUCAGUCACUUGAAGUUCUGAAGAUCCAGAUGUUCUGACAACCAAGAAACUCUGAAGGUUCAGAUGUUCUGAUGGUGUAGAAGACUCUGAAGAUCCAGAAGCUGAAAAGUGGAAACUCUGAUAUCCAGAAGCAAGAUGACUCUGAAGACCAUGUACUUCCCUCUGAGUUCAGAAUCAGAAGAUACAACGGUCAGAGGAUCUCUGCUUCCCUCUGACUCUGAUCAACGAGCUUCACAAGUUCCAACAUGAAGCAUUCCCCUGAUCAGAAGUCUACUAGGUUUAAAGGUCAAGUCACUAUCCAAGUACAAAAGUAAAUGUACUAUCCUGACGACCUACCUAACAUUCUCAGCCACAGCAGAAGCUGGAAUUUCCAGAACUGCCCUCCAACGGUAGCAUUUCCAUGCAGCGUUCAAACCCUAAUCCUUGGAGUAUAAAUAGAGGCUGAAGAUUGAAAGAUGCGGUUAGAAGAAUCUCAGAUGCGCAAGCUAUAUUCAAAAACCUUCUAAGCAUUCUUUCAUCUGAAUUCAUUGUGUUUACUCUUAGCUUUUCAGAAGCAAAUUCUUUGUAAACAUUCUUUCCUAAACAGUUGUUUAGUUACCUUUAGGAGAUCAAGGUUGAUCGGAUCCUAGAGAAGACUAAGAGAGUGAAUCUUAGUGUGAGCUAAGUCAGUGUAAUUGUUAGUCACUUGUAGGUUUCAAGUGCAGUUGUAACACUUACCUGAUUAGUGGAUUGCCUUCAUUCUAAGAAGGAAGAAAUCACCUUAACGGGUGGACUGGACUAGCUUGAGGGAUUUAUUAAGUGAACCAGGAUAAAAAUCCUUGUGUGCUUUUCUAUCUCUUAUCUUUAGCAAGGCAAAGCAAUUAUAUAUACCCCAUGAUAAGUUAUUAAAUAAGCUAAAGCAAGGGGAAAAAUAAAGAAAACUUGGUGAAAGCUAAUAAGCGUGACAAGGAUGUCAUGAUAAGUUCUCAUGACAAAUCAACUUGAUUGGUAUUGAAUCAACUCUGUCUCAUGUUAGUGAAGUUGACACUCAUCUUGGUGGAAAAGGAAGUGAUAUUGAGAGAAAGCAUGAAUCAACACCUUCACCAAGCAAACAACCACCAACUGGUUCCAAGAAAUCUGUUUCACAGGGUGAGGUACCUUCAAGCUACCAAAACCAGCUGGAAGUUCUUCUUUAUAGGUUGUUUGCCUACACCCUAUCUCAUGGUUGUUACUCUUUGGGAUGGUGCUUGGGUUGUUGCUAUGAAAAGGGUCUCAAAUUAAAUGUUGAUUAUUUUGAUGCGAGGAAAUAUUCUCCAGCACAAACUUCAUAAACUAAGGAGUUAAAGUGUGUUCAGAUAUAAAAGUGAUGUAUAGUUAACAAUUGAUUGUACUCCAUUAUUGAGAUUUGAGACUAAUGCUACAUUAUAUGU